rnacentral:rRNA from 1 species
ACACUCCUGCGGGAGGCAGCAGUGGGGAAUAUUGCACAAUGGGCGCAAGCCUGAUGCAGCCAUGCCGCGUGUAUGAAGAAGGCCUUCGGGUUGUAAAGUACUUUCAGCGGGGAGGAAGGCAAUACGGUUAAUAACCGUGUUGAUUGACGUUACCCGCAGAAGAAGCACCGGCUAACUCCGUGCCAGCAGCCGCGGUAAUACGGAGGGUGCAAGCGUUAAUCGGAAUUACUGGGCGUAAAGCGCACGCAGGCGGUCUGUCAAGUCGGAUGUGAAAUCCCCGGGCUCAACCUGGGAACUGCAUUCGAAACUGGCAGGCUUGAGUCUUGUAGAGGGGGGUAGAAUUCCAGGUGUAGCGGUGAAAUGCGUAGAGAUCUGGAGGAAUACCGGUGGCGAAGGCGGCCCCCUGGACAAAGACUGACGCUCAGGUGCGAAAGCGUGGGGAGCAAACAGGAUUAGAAACCCUUGUAGUCCCAU